rnacentral:rRNA from 1 species
CCUACGGGGGACAGCAGUGGGGGAUAUUGGUCAAUGGGGGGAACCCUGAUCCAGCGACGCCGCGUGAGUGAAGAAGUAUUUCGGUAUGUAAAGCUCUGUCAGCAGGGAAGAAAGAAAUGACGGUACCUGACCAAGAAGCCCCGGCUAACUACGUGCCAGCAGCCGAGGUAAUACGUAGGGGGCAAGCGUUAUCCGGAAUUACUGGGUGUAAAGGGAGCGUAGACGGUUAAGUAAGUCUGGAGUGAAAGGCCGGGGCCCAACCCCGGGACUGCUCUGGAAACUAUUGAACUUGAGUGCAGGGGAGGUAAGCGGAAUUCCUAGUGUAGCGGUGAAAUGCGUAGAUAUUAGGAGGAACACCAGUGGCGAAGGCGGCUUACUGGACUGUAACUGACGUUGAGGCUCGAAAGCGUGGGGAGCAAACAGGAUUAGAUACCCUUGUAGUC